AGGGUGCAAAAGCCUAGCCAAAAAUGGCCUGGCCCAAGAAUAAUUGGAUCCAACAUAUAGAAAUAAGAUAUUACUCCAGCAAUUACGAAAGUAACCAGAAGCUUGUAGCUCUCUUGUCCAAAUCCCAUCAAAUCUAUCCAAAAUGAAUCCCAAAAAUCAUUGAACCAUUCUCAAGAAGAUGUUUCUCAUUUGUAUAUGCAUUCAACUCUUAAACUUGCAUCUGCGAUUCAACUUAAAGCUUGAUCUACCAUAAUAGCUUCGACUCAUAAAGUGACUUUGGAAGAGCCAAAUUUGAGGAUGAAAGGCAAAUCCAUCUUCUCUUAUCAACUCUUCAUUCAAAUUACCAGUAGAAAUAGUAUUGUUGACAUAAUGAAACCUUAAGCAGUAUCUACGUCUUGAUUUCGUACCUUUGAACACCCCAAGCUCUCACCAGGUUUAUUCUCUGUUGCUGCUUCAAUCUCCAGUCUGUGUGUGGGAAUAUUGUGAAUGGCCUUACUUGGGGAUUCAAUGUGUCAACUUGGAGUGUUGUUGGAAAUUCCAUGAUAGCCAUGUUGUCUAUACAUUGAUGAUCUCCUUUCUUCUCCCUAACCUCAUGAUGACCAGCUGGAACCUGUAUACUUGUAGUAUCAAUUACUUUUGUUGUUGGAGUUGUGUUCUGAAUGUGAUCCACAUGAAUGGUAUUAUUUGCACCCUCUGUUGUCAUAGUUGUGUCUGGAGAAGUGUGGGUAUGAUUUACUUGGGAUUUUUCCCUAACAAUUUUCGUACGGAUACUAUUCUAAUACAAUUUAAAAAUUAGUCAAA